GACGAACGCUGGCGGCACGCUUAACACAUGCAAGUCGAACGAGAGAAGAGAAGCUUGCUUUUCUGAUCUAGUGGCGGACGGGUGAGUAACACGUGAGCAAUCUGCCUUUCAGAGGGGGAUACCGAUUGGAAACGAUCGUUAAUACCGCAUAACAUAAUUGAACCGCAUGAUUUGAUUAUCAAAGAUUUAUCGCUGAAAGAUGAGCUCGCGUCUGAUUAGCUAGUUGGUAAGGUAACGGCUUACCAAGGCGACGAUCAGUAGCCGGACUGAGAGGUUGAUCGGCCACAUUGGGACUGAGACACGGCCCAGACUCCUACGGGAGGCAGCAGUGGGGAAUAUUGCACAAUGGAGGAAACUCUGAUGCAGCGAUGCCGCGUGAGGGAAGAAGGUUUUAGGAUUGUAAAUCUCUGUCUUCAGGGACGAAAAAAGACGGUACCUGAGGAGGAAGCUCCGGCUAACUACGUGCCAGCAGCCGCGGUAAUACGUAGGGAGCGAGCGUUGUCCGGAAUUACUGGGUGUAAAGGGAGCGUAGGCGGGAUCGCAAGUCAGAUGUGAAAACUAUGGGCUUAACCCAUAAACUGCAUUUGAAACUGUGGUUCUUGAGUGAAGUAGAGGUAAGCGGAAUUCCUAGUGUAGCGGUGAAAUGCGUAGAUAUUAGGAGGAACAUCAGUGGCGAAGGCGGCUUACUGGGCUUUAACUGACGCUGAGGCUCGAAAGCGUGGGGAGCAAACAGGAUUAGAUACCCUGGUAGUCCACGCCGUAAACGAUGAUUACUAGGUGUGGGGGGACUGACCCCUUCCGUGCCGCAGCAAACGCAAUAAGUAAUCCACCUGGGGAGUACGACCGCAAGGUUGAAACUCAAAGGAAUUGACGGGGGCCCGCACAAGCAGUGGAGUAUGUGGAUUAAUUCGAAGCAACGCGAAGAACCUUACCAGGUCUUGACAUCGUAUGCAUAGCUCAGAGAUGAGUGAAAUCUCUUCGGAGACAUAUAGACAGGUGGUGCAUGGUUGUCGUCAGCUCGUGUCGUGAGAUGUUGGGUUAAGUCCCGCAACGAGCGCAACCCUUACUGUUAGUUGCUACGCAAGAGCACUCUAGCAGGACUGCCGUUGACAAAACGGAGGAAGGUGGGGAUGACGUCAAAUCAUCAUGCCCCUUAUGACCUGGGCCUCACACGUACUACAAUGGCUGUCAACAGAGGGAAGCAAAGCCGCGAGGUGGAGCGAACCCCUAAAAGCAGUCUUAGUUCGGAUUGUAGGCUGCAACCCGCCUACAUGAAGUCGGAAUUGCUAGUAAUCGCAGAUCAGCAUGCUGCGGUGAAUACGUUCCCGGGCCUUGUACACACCGCCCGUCACGCCAUGGGAGUCGGUAACACCCGAAGCCUGUAGUCUAACCGCAAGGAGGACGCAGUCGAAGGUGGGAUUGAUGACUGGGGUG
rnacentral:rRNA from 1 species